UCAAGUAUUCUUAAUAGUAAAAAUUAAAAAAAGAAAUGUAGAAAGGGUUAGGGUAAAGGCUUACAUGAACAUUGAACUCAAGCGAAUCCACCCUCUCCUCCACGAACAAAUAGACGACGGCGCAGUGAAUCGAGUCCUUCUCCGAUCGGAGCUUCUCCGUCUUGAGCCCUCCGUCUCCGGUUCCACUUCUCUUAUCUUUGCUCGCCUCGCACCUCGUUCUCACGAUCUCCAAUCAACUCAACACUUGCCGCAACUACCUGAGAACUCAACCUCCUCUGACGAAGACCCUGUCUACUUCUUCAUACUUCUGACUCCUGAUCUGAUGCGCUAUGGAUUGCGAAUCGUAAUGUUGAAUGAUGCAGUCAUGGUGUCAAAGACGUGCGUUGAAGACUCGUUGCAGUGGCGCAACGAUGUUCGUUGAUGUUUGCGCGUAUGUUGAGGUUCGUUGAGGAUGAUGAAAAAGAUGAAGAAGAUUCAAGAUCGAGAAAAGUUUGUCACGAGUUGAGUCUCUGUUAUGUGAUUUCUCUGAUGAACGAUGGAGGACUUGAAGCUUGAGGUGUGAUUUUCUUGUGGUGAUUGAAGGAUGAAGAACUCUGGAUCGAUGAAGAUGAAGAUGAAGAUGAAGAUUGGAGCCAAAGUUUGUUACGCUUUGAUUAUCGGUUAUUUUGAUUCAAGUGAGCAUGGAGCAUUCAUUUUGAUAUCAAACCUCGAGCAUAAACACGAAUUGGAUUGUGUACGAGCGACUGUCGAACACAUAGAGGUUCUCUGCGUUUUCUUUUGGAACAUGAUCAGUACGCAUAAAGUAAGUAGCCUUUAGGGCAUUUAUGCUUAGACUGAGCUUUGUGGCAGACUUAACGUUGCUUCAGACCCAUUGAACUUGAAUUGAACCCAAACUGCUUAAAGGAUCUCUGAAUAUAACUCAGUGGGGAUGAUGGUGAUGGUAGCUAUAACUUAGUUUACACUCCUCUUUUAGUUUGCUAUUUGAAUAUGAAUGUGGACAUGGUAUGACUGGAACUGUUAGUUUGUUAAAUGGUGCAACAGGCUGUUGGUAAGUUUGUGGUUUGAAAUGUGUUAGUUAGGAACUGUUUUUGUGUUGCAUGAUUGUUAGAAAUCUUUUAUUGAAUUUUCCAAUGGAUGGAUGUGUGUUUAUUCCUUGUACAGGUCUAGGAUGUGGAGAAGUUUUAUGGUAUGAACAUGGGUUAACCUCCUUGCUGCUGCUCAGGCGGAAGCAGCUCGUUUUGGUUUAGAUGUGAAUUGUUUGGCUAUGCUGCAAGUUUGGUAAAUCGAAAUAUGACUGCAAGCAGGUUGACAAUUGUGUGAGUAAUGCAAGGCUUUCCUUUGAUGUGGAAGAAAGUGUGAGCUGUAUGUUAAUUCCACUGGUUUUACGCUUUGGUUCAGAUGCUUGGAGUUCGGGCAGAGAAACAAGUCCAUAGUCAAACUAGGAUGUAGUUUUUUUUGUGUAAAAUCUUUUUGGUGAUGUAAUAUGAAAGUUUUUUUUUGUAACGGUUUAUGACUUGUGCUCAUUUGACUCAUAGAGUAGAAUAGGACUUUUUGGAUAUGAUUGAAAGUGUAAUGUGAAAGAACUUUGUAAAAGGGCAUUGAAUGGUAUAUUCUUUUUGUAUGA